rnacentral:sRNA from 1 species
UUUUAAUCCAAUAGAUCUAUGUUGCUUUACAAAGAAAUAUCUGUAAUAACAUGUGGUUACAAAAAAACCAAAAUUGGAAUAUGGUAUAUCUGUAAGCUAUGAUUUGUUUUUUCACAGUAAUAUUUUGUUUGGACAACUAAAAAAGUAAAGUACAACUAAACUCUACAGAAUUUGUUGGCUAUAUACAGAGAGAAACAAAAAACAUAUUUAAAACAAUUGCUAAAAUUGACAACAUUAGUUUCACUAUAUAAAUCACCUAGACUAACCCAAUAUUACCCACCAAAUCAUCUUCUUCACAAUUAUAAACAGGAAAUACAAAACAAGUUGUAAUACUCAUUUGUAUUAAAUCAUCACUAGUAUUUACGUUAUGACGACUCAAACAUGCAAUGUUUUCAUGUUCGUAGCUAUAUUGACGAUGAUGUUUUCUGCACACAUUGCUCAAUCAAACAGUCUAACAAUGUGUGUGAAACAUUGUGCACAUAACCGGUGUUUGAAAGCGGCGAAAAAUUCUACUCCUGAAAUUUGUGAUGAAACUUGCAAGAAAAUCUGCAACAAUCAACUAUUCGGUGGUAAAAAAUUUAUUGUACCUCCUCCUAAGGGAAGCUCCCACUUCUGUAGAUGGUUGCCUCAGUUUUGUUAAUUCCACGAAA